UCUCUAUUCUAAUUCAAGUUCUCCUAACCUAGCUUAACCUAGUUUUAUUGAUCCAAUUUGAAUGUUUACAAUGUACGUUUCAUGGCUAUUUACGUUAUCCAACCGCCAAGAAAUAGUUCCUUUACCUGAAGUCAAAUAUUAAGCUUGUGUGAAUAAUUUUUGAAUAUCAUAGUAAUAAGAGAUGAAAAACUAUACUUUUAAGAAAAUUCACAAUUUAUUAAACAAGAAAUAAUAACGUAAAUUUCAAGUCCUCUCGUCGAGUUUUAUCGAGCAUUGUCAACUGUCAUGGCCGAUCACGCAGAGGUGCGAUGAAGAUAAACAACAAAAUCUACGGCUGUGCAGCGUUCCCUGUUAUGUUGUAGUUGAAGACUUGGACAGUUGAAUUAUGGACUUCAAACUGUUUGUUAUACAAAACAGGUGCUACAUGUAAAUAAAAAUGGAAGUCUCGUAAACUGUGUAAAACUAAGCAGCAUGCGAAUGAUGUACAUAUAACAUACAAGUGCAACGCAUGAUUAAACUGGAUAUGAAAAAUUCACAUAAAAGGCAAUGUUGGAAGACGUGACAAAAGAAAACAUUAUAUAAAUUAAAGUCUAUAAAAAGAAAGGACCAGCUGAUCAAGAUACAUAUGCAUGAUAUAUAUGUAUGCUAAUUGUCAUGAAGAAAUUUAGGAAGUUUUAUAAUUGCUUGUUGAAUUGAUUGUGGAUUUCAAGGUAUCUUGUGUAAUACCAUUAUAAUAGGAAGAUACAUGUAUGUGUGCAAACAUGAUGUUGGGAUGUAUAACAGUAUUUUAAAUUCAGCAAAUUUCAUGAAAUAAUAAGUGAACAGAAAUUUCAAUCUUAUGCAUGCAGAAAUAUGAGACGAAAACAUAUUGAAAAUUGUACAUUGAACACUUGCAAUUGCACGAAUUUAGAGUUUGCAAUGUCAAAUGAAUGUAUAAAGUUUAGUUUUAUGGACAGUAUAUAUAUAUACCAUGGCCAAAAUGGACAGUAAUUAGCAGUGAUUGCGGAAACCUUUAUAAGCUAUAUGCAGAUUUAUUUUGUUAAUGAUUACAAUUAUAUUUUUUA